rnacentral:rRNA from 1 species
AUGGCGGCCAUGACACAGACCGACCAGGCCCUGCCGAUGGCGACUGCUGAUCUGGAGGCCGCCAUGGCAGCGCUCCCUGUCAAGAAGCAGCGCCUGCGGAAGUCCUUCCACCGCGUCGUCGCAUGUGCGCCUCCCCAUGUCAAGCUCCCCUUCACCUGGGACGACAUCGAUGUUGGCGCCGCCUCCAUGCGCAACGCCGCUUCUUCUUCCUUGUGCUUCCUCGCACAACUCUCUUCUCUCGUGGUUUCUCUCAUGAACACAAAAACACACGCACACACACAACCAAGGAAGAAGGCCAUCGGCUUUGCCCAGAACAUUCUCCCUUGGUGA